rnacentral:rRNA from 1 species
UAAGGAAUAUUGGUCAAUGGACGCAAGUCUGAACCAGCCAUGCCGCGUGGAGGAUUAAGGCCCUCUGGGUUGUAAACUCCUUUUAUCUGGGAAGAAAUGUACUUUUUCUUGAGUACUUGACGGUACCAGAGGAAUAAGCACCGGCUAACUCCGUGCCAGCAGCCGCGGUAAUACGGAGGGUGCAAGCGUUAUCCGGAUUCACUGGGUUUAAAGGGUGCGUAGGUGGGCUGGUAAGUCAGUGGUGAAAUCUCCGGGCUUAACCCGGAAACUGCCGUUGAUACUAUUUGUCUUGAAUAUUGUGGAGGUAAGCGGAAUAUGUCAUGUAGCGGUGAAAUGCUUAGAUAUGACAUAGAACACCAAUUGCGAAGGCAGCUUACUACACAAUCAUUGACGCUGAGGCACGAAAGCGUGGGGAUCAAACA